AAAAGAUUUACUUAUCACUAUGACUGUAUGUUCUUUAGCUGUUAUGUUACAAGAAUUGUUAAUAAAAGGGGAAAUAUAAUAACCUUUUACUAAACAUUGUAAUCUGCUUAAACAUUCAAUUAACAUUGUCACUCAUGUGUUUGAUAGAUACAUAUUAUUCUUGAGGGUUCUUUAAUUUGUUACAGGAUUUUUUGUGUUCAAUUAUUAGGGAAAAAAACAAACAUUUAAGUUUAUAUGUUGAACAUUUUUUUUGGUAAUCAUACGAUAAAUCUAAGACUACUGUUUACUUCUAUUUUCAAAAGGAAGAUAUCCAUAGCAUGUAUUUUAAUAUGUUUCAAUCAUUAAAACAUCAAUCAGUAAACAUCAGGGUCGACAGACACAUAAUAUGUAAUUUAUCAAAGAAAGCCUUAACAAGAGAACACUAAUUCUUUUAUAAGGCAUCUAAUCUUUUACUAUUUUUGUUUUGAAAAUAUACACUUAUAUUUUUUAGUUGUUUGCAAGAACAACUAUGGUUAAUAGUGAUAAGAAAAUUGGUGUGCAGGGUACAACGCCACAAGAUCUAUUUCCGCACACCACGGCUCUGAAAGUGUGAUUUGAAUGUGUCAAAAGAAAACUGUGUGUUAAUCAAAAGUUAAAAUACCAUAUAUUUUGAUGGUGAAAAAAUAAACUCAUAAUAGGCUAUGUGAGGACAAAUAUGAUGUGAUAAUUUUUAUUUCAAAACAUUAACGUGUGGUUCCAAUAUACCUGUACCUUAUAACACAAAUUUCAGGCAGUGACUUUGCAACUAAUAAGUGACAAAAAACACCUACAAUUUAAACCUUUGUUUUAAUUCAAUUUCUAGAAAAUGUAAUUUUUAACCAGGUUUUCCAAAGGAAAAAACUGGUUAUUAGAUUGGCGAAUGUCGGCGGGCAGGCUGGCGGGCGUGUAAGGAAAAGCUUGUCCGGGCCAUAACUUUGUCGUUCAUUGUAAGAUAUUAAAAUCAUGUUGCACAUUUGUUCACCAUCAUUAGACGAUAUGUCGCGCGAAAGAAUUACGUCAAUAUCUCCAAGGUCAAGGUCACACUUUGAGUUCAAAGGUCAAAAAUGGCCAUAAAUGAGCUUGUCCGGGCCAUUACUAUGUCAUUCAUUGUGUGAUUUUAAAAUCAUUUGGCACAUUUGUUCACCAUCAUUGGAUGGUGUGUCGCGCGAAAGAAUUACGUCAAUACCUCCAAGGUUAAGGUCGCCACAACUAAAAAUAGAUUGAUUUUGAAAAUUUAAACAAUCAGAAACAAUGCACAUUUUGAGUGCGUCUCCCUUUAUCAGUUUUUUUUUUCAAAUUGAAAUCAAGGUCGCCACGAGUAAAAAUAGAUUGAAUCUUACACAAGGUGGGUAACAAUGCAUUUUUUGCAUUGUCUCCCUUUAUCAGACUUUUUUUAAAUUGAAAACCUGGUUUUGUGACAAUUUUUUCUCUUGUAUAACUUUAUUUCAAAGUCAGGAUAUACGUCAAAUUUCUUUUUAAGAUAUUUUGUGUUUAAACUAAGCUUCAUUUUUGUAACCAUAAGUUGAGUUUGUGUGAAUCUUGUAUAAAAUUAUGAGGGAUUAUAAAUCAAUGUCAAUUUCCUCAAUGAUGUUUUUGCAAAAUCUCACCUUUGUAGAAAAUUUAAAGUAAAUUACAUUGCCCGUAUUAUAAUUAGUGUGUUAAAUUUUCGCGGCCGUUCCAUUGGCCUGCGUUAAAAAGUCAAACAUCAUGUCCUGUGAUUGUAAUAUUAAAUACGUUCAAAGAGUGAACACCUUUAGCUCUUUGAUUUUAUAUAUAAGUUGAACGCAUGUUAAUACAAUGUACCAGAAAUAUAUUAAAAAUACAUUAAUA